AUCUGGAUCUAAUAUGGAGCUGGAUGAUGUCUUUUCACAUUCGGAAGCAAUCUCAAGGGUAUCAGAAGCUGAUUUGCAGGUUUCUCGUCACCGUAUUUCUGCAUUUUUGUCCAUGCAUACCGCAUAUGAGCUGCUUCCCGAGUCAGGCAAGGUUAUUGCCUUGGAUGUUAAUUUACCGGUUAAGCAAGCGUUCCAUAUUCUCCAUGAACAGCGUGUACCUCUAGCUCCUCUCUGGGACUUUUUAAAGGGCCAGUUUGUUGGAGUUCUUAGU
rnacentral:misc_RNA from 1 species